UUAAGUUCAGGGGGUAUCCUUACCUGAUCUGAGGUCAAGUCUAGAAAAUAAAUCGGUUCAGUUGGCGGACCCCACCCCAGUUGCUUCAACGAGAAAUUGCUUACUACGUCUUACAAGCUGAAAUAGUGUCGCCAAUAGCUUUAAGAAGAGUGGCAUAACCACUUCCCCCAAUACCAAACUAAAGUUUGAUUGAUUUAUUG
rnacentral:misc_RNA from 1 species